GCAUCGGUGGUUUAGUGGUAAAAUUAGCCGUUGCCAUCCGCCUCUCACAACGACAGGAUAGGACAGUUUCGGCUAGCCCCGGGUUCGAUUCCCGGCCGAUGCA